UUUAUCCUUGUCUUUGGGGAGCAAAGUAUUCUAUGAUCGUUUAGUGAGAAUACUGUUGCUGAAUCCCAUAUUAAGAUAUUUCACCGCAUCCGUAGAUCGUAACAUUUACGAGAUGCAAUUUUUGGAUAG
rnacentral:ncRNA from 1 species